CUUGCCUUCUUCAAAGUGUGGUUGUUGUUACUGAGCGUGCAUAAUAAGCAGUGUUUGAGAGGUCAGCAUUUAAGCAUCUGCUGAUUCCAUUGUUUGAACCUGUCAGAUGUAGCCAUUUAGUGGCAUAGAUGCUACUGCCCUGCAGUAGUUGUGUAGCACCUACUGUGGUGAACCAAGGAUGUGAGUGCCUUUUUUUUGAUGCCAGAAAAUAUCUUAUUCGGCACCAUAUUAAUGUGGACAGAAAAGGGAGAGUGUCCUCGAUACAGUGGGGUUAGGAAGGCAUUCCAGUGGGCACCUGUUAUUGCCAUUUGUAAACAUCAAAUCCUAACCCCACCAAAACUGAGAGGAAAGGAAAACUACUCUUAGGGAGUACGCCUAGGAGUGAAGUGCCUGAUUGUUGUUCUUCAGAAACUGCUAUAUAUGUGGGUACAAAGAGGUUGUGUAUGCAUACUUUUUUUUUCCCUGAAUGCAAAAACACUUUCCAGUAAAAAUGCUAGCAUAGAGCUUCACUGUUGGAUGAAACAAGAGUUGAUGUUUUUAUUUAUUUAUUUUAAGUAAGGGGGAAGUGUAUAAUCUGGACUCCUGGGAGAAACAGAGGAAGUCUCCAGCCUUUUCCCUGGUUGCAAGCAUUCCCUGUAGAGACCUUUUUUGUGCACAAUACAGAAUAAAAUGUGAUGUACUGUUUCUUCCCUUUAUGCGGCUUUCUGAGGGUAUUUGCAUGAAAAUGAAGCUUCUGUCUGUUCAGUGCCCCUGGUUCUUGCAGUCUGUUCAUAGCAUGAAGUCAUUGCCAGCUGUGUAUAAAAUCAAAAUCAUUUCCUCUGAGUAGUCCAACAUGGUGAUACUUUUGUAGCUUAUGAACAAAGCAGCCUAUCUUACAAAGAUGUUUGGAAUAACCCUAAAAUGCAGGGGUUUAUUGUGGUUGUGACUAUGGAAGGUGGUUAAGGUACUACAGUGUGGGAUUUCUCUCAGAAAGGCUCUUGCUGGAUAUGUAAAGUAUUAUCUUUGACCAGGGAUUUGGCUUUUAUGACCAGGGUAUUCUUUUUGAGGACUAAGAAGUGCUGUAGGACUGCUAUCUCCUACUGAGAUAGGAUCCACUUGGCAAAGUGUGGUUAGAGCAUUUUUACCAACAGGUAGGCCGCCCUGAAAACAAGAGUGUUGAAUUAGUAAUCGUUAUGACCACGUUUAAGUGAGGAAGCAGUGAACAGGGUUGAAAAGCAAAGGGUGAAUAUUCUGUGGUGGUCUUUUUUUUUAAUUUUUUUUUUUUCCUGUGCAGUUUUUCUUGGUAAUUAAAGAUGGGUAGGGUAUGGAAUUAAACAAUAUUACAAAGGUUUUUGAAAAGGAUGUUUAGGUUUUAAGUUUGUGUUGUGGAAACAGAAUGCUCAUUGCGUUGUUCCAGAGGGUAUCAGCAUCUCUCUCAAGCCUCAAGAAAGAUGGAGGUCUGUCUUUCUUGUCGUAGUGAAGUGUUAUGGUAAACAAAAAAGAUGGGUAUGAUACAUAUAAAGGACCUGUUGGUGCAUGUUAAUAAUAUAGGAGAAACUGUUUGAGAACUAGUCAUCCAGCUACAAAUACAAUUCCUAUUCUGUGCCAAGGUCAGCAAGACGUAAGGCAAACAAGAUGUUAGGAGCUUGGUAGUACGAACAAAAACCGUGAUUUGUGUUUCUGUUAAAAGUCAAAUUAAAAUGGGUUGGGACUAGCACUGUUACUUUCCUUGAAUGGUCAGUUCUGAGAAAGGGAGCAGGACCAUGUCCUGGCUUACAAACUUGCCAUGUGCUUUGAGGAGGAGUACCUCUGUGUUGACCAGUGUACCUUGAAAUCGCUGUUAACUGGUUAAAGUGAAAUGUAUAUGAAGGUCUAAUCUCCUUAUGCCAAGAGGACAUUGGAAAUCAGAUGCAUCUGACUGGUAAGGUGUAUGACCUAGUGUGCUCUACUGGAAUGUCGCCAAUGAAUCUUUCUAGGACAAGGAUAAGCAUAUGCUGGGAAAGCACUUAGAGCACGUCUGUGUCUGGUUUGUUGUGCGUUUUAUUUUUGUAUUUUAUUUUUUCUUAAUUUAUUUGUUGUUGUUGUUCGUGGGGGUUUUUUUUGAGUCCGUGAAGGACUUCAGGAAUCUAAACCUGGGUAGGUUUUGUUUUUUUUUUCUUUUUCUCCUUCUCUCCCUCAUAUUUGUGUGUUUCUAUUCAACAUUAUUGUAUUGCCUGUAAGUUAAGACUUACUUGAAAGAAUUGGUUGAGUCUGUGACUGAAGGGCUGGUGAAAUUUCUCUUCCUGCCUUCCCAGUUUGGUGUGUUGUGUGAAUAUCUUCUCUGAUUCAUCUCCCUCUGUUUAACCUAAUGUUUUAUAUCAAUGACAAUUACGUGAAGAGAAAUGUUCCUGUUAGAAACAUGUGACUAGGAUGUAUCUAAGUGUGUGUAAGUAGAUAUUUGGUGUGAUUACUCCCCAAGACAGCUCAUGUAGGGACACUGUAACAGUGUUAUUCAGUGGACUGAAGUCUGAAAGGUGAGUCUACCCUGUGUAGGCUGGAUAGGGUUGGAGAAAGAGUGUGACCUAAUGAAAGCCCUGCCCAUUUGGUUCUCUCCUUUUUCACUGGCCACUGUGAUACCUCCUGCUCUUUUCACUUUUGCUAUAUUCUUCCAGCCAUUAAUAACAUGAAGUAUUUGUGUUUACUAGAUAGGAGCUUCUAUGUUGGAUGCUUGAAUGUGUAGAAACAAGAAGAUUGUGCCUAGGAUGUGUGUUGUGGUUUAACAUGAGCUAGCAAUACAACCAUGAUCAGCGCUAACUCUCCCCGUCUCUCCCCUCCCUUCCCCCCCCCAGUAGGGGAGAGAAUCAAAAGGGAUGGGAGAAACUUGGAGAUAAACACAGUUUAAUAAAAUAACAAAAUACUAAUACACUACUAGUAAAUAUAUAUAUAAAAUAGAAAUAACAGAUGCUCAAGGCAAUUCCUCACGAACAUGCUGAGCAGCCAGUCCCAGGAAACAGCACCUGGUCCCAAAGAGAGAAGAAAGAGGGAAAAAAGGCAGAAAGGCUCAGAGGGCUCUGCAAAUCGGCAAAAGGCCGAACUAUAACUCCUGAUCCAAACUGCCCCAGCUGUGGCCCAGAGCAAACAAGAGCAAGAAAGAGAGAGAAGAGUGGAAGAGCCAGAAAACCAGAAGGCCCUGACUCCUUAAAUAAUUAGCAUGAGGCUAAUUGGGCUAAUGGGAUGGAGUACUCUUAGUGCUCAGUCUGGAUGUCAGUCAAGCUCUGGCCCCAUCCAUGCUCCCCUUUGAGCACUCAGAAUGUCCUUGGCUCUCAGACCAGAGCAAUUAAAAACAUUAACUCUGUGCUGGGGUGUUAUCUCUUGUUCUUAAACUAAGUCCAAAUAAUGAGCAUACUAGCUAUGGAAAAGAAAGGUUCCUGAAAGUAUGAAGAAAAUUAACCCAUUUUCAGUCAAACCAGCACAAUGUGUCUGUCACGCAGGGACUGCAGCAUUUGCUGAUGAGGGAAGGGAUGGGAUGUUGGAGUGGUGACUGAGUUUCUGAGGGGAACUCUGACACACGGACAGAAAAUGUUAGUGUCUUUACUUACUAUGGCAAUGAGCAAUAUAGACGUGUGCAGAUAAGAGAUGCACAGGAAAAGGCCAAGGGUGCUGAAACAAAAGAGCUGGCACUUAAUGAGAAAUGUUUGCCAUGUUGGAGGAAAAGGUGACUAGUAAUUACAUAUUUGAAACAGCAUUUUAAUGAGGAAUCUCUGCUUAUGAAUAUAACAGUUUUCUCUAUUGUCAUCUUCAGUGGUCACUUCAGUUAUAAAGGCUUACUUCCCUAUCUUCUAGUGUUGAAAAUGUAAAAUUAAUGAUAAGGAAAUGAGCUAGGUGUGCCAAAGGUCACUUUGCCAUUACCUCUGGGGUAGGUCUGCCAUUAGGAAUCUAUGAAACUGUCAAUAGAAAGCAAGAAGGAAGUCUAAAAUGCUUGUGAGAUAUUUCCUGUAUCCUCAUGACUCCUACCUCUGUCCUCAAAAAAACCCACAAACUCUAUGUGUUUUGGCCCAAAGGCCCUAUUCUGUGGCCCUGUAGCUUGACACAUUUUUUUAUAGGUGCAUUCCAGCAAAGACCAGUGAGCUUUACAGGUCCCAGUGGGCGAGUGGCUGACUGACGGAAAGCAUUGGCCAAGCACACUAUGCUGCUUAAACUGCGUUCAUCCCCAGUACUGACUUGUAGUUGUGUGUGGUGGCAGGACGUUUCUUUUAAAUGUAUAUAUAUUUUUUGGCUCCCGCACUGCGAAUGAAAGGCCAAAGCUGCACCAACAUGCUCAUUUGCCAACAGUUUUUGUUCUAAAUUGUACCUACCAAUAUAUGUCUUAACUUUGAAUAUAGUUUGCUUUAAAAUAUAUUUUUAUAUGUUUGUGUAUCUGUGCAUAUACUAUACAUACAUGCUAGAUCUGUUAUGUAUAUACCUACAAAUGAUGCGUAUAUAUAGUAUGUAUUUUCUGUACAUACAAACUGUACCUGUAAAGUAUACUUCUUGUGAUUCUGCUUGGCCCCCUGUUAAUGUUAUUUUGCUUGACUGGUGGCCAUCUCUGGAAUGCUUGUGUCUUGCUAUUAGAGUAGCAGCAGUGUUGCAAUGGAUUGCUUUUGAAAAAUGACUCUGAUCUGAGGCUUCCUAGGAGUUAAUAAGUUUAUCCAAGUCCAGAAGAUUAUUUGGUUUUAAGACAGUCAAUUUAUUGAGAAACACUAUGAUUAACCAACAGGAACGGUGCGAAUCCUUACACCCUAAGUCCUAGUUCUUGAUUUUUUUUUUCCCCAUGGGUGCUGAUUCAGUUAAAUACCAUGGUCAAGGUAACAGAUGAGUGGAUACUUCUGUAUGUACCGCCUGCCUGCAGUUAACUGCACUUUCUGUAAUGUCACAUCAUUCAAAAGCUUUGCUCUUGAUUUCCCUGCUAGCAGAAUAAAUAUUUCACUGUUAGCAGAAUAAUAAGCAGAUUCCGGAAAGUUGUAUAUGUAGAUAAUACCCUCUUUUUCUAAUUAAGAGUUUGACUUACUAAAAUUAUAUAAAGAAAAAAGGUUAUUAAGACAGAAGUGAAGAAGCAAGUCUGCUCAAGCCCCAAACCUUGUAAUCAAAGCAGUGUGGUGGGAGCUUAGCUUAACCAUGUUUUCUCUGUAUAAUUGUGUAAGAUGAGAUUAACAGCCAAGCAAUAAAGCACAGGUCAACAAGCUCAUUGUUAUAAAACCUUGAAGUUUAGAAUCACAUUUGAUCUGCCUCUAGUUCUUUUUUAGGGCAGCUUAAUGAAAAGGGAAAUAGGAGUGGUUCAUUUGGCUUGAACAGUAAAUGCUGACAUACUGAAUUUUGUAAUAUUCCUUCUAUUUUCUUUGUGGGGCUGGUCAUGGUAUGCUCGGCUUAGUAGUCAGCACCCUUGCACAUGUAAACCAGAAGAUGCACAAUUGCAGAUUAUGUAUUGAAUGCAGAUACACAGAUCGUCUGCUGGAGAUACCGCUUUUCUAGUUACUAGAGUAACACAAUUACUAGUAGUAAUGUUUAGCAGGAAGUGGAAUUGUUGUGUGUUGUAGUGAUACAUAAGCACCACUCUGCCCGUGUGCUGUACAGCUGAACUUGGAAGCCAACGUCAUCCUGAGGCUGCGGUCAGAGAAGGGACUAUAUCAGUCAAGGAGAAAAAGGAGCAGAUGCACACGCCGUGAAGCAAUGGUUUGUUUCAGAAACAUAGUUCAAGGUGAAAUUGUGACUUUGCUGAGAACAAGGGCAAAGCUGUCAGUUUCAGCAGAGCAAAGAUUUAAUUUUUUUGUCUGUCCCAGGAUAGUAUGCGUUUCUAUAUAGUUUAAGUUGAUCUGGUACAGUGCUGAAGUUGAUGUUUGAACUUUAACAGUAACAAACAUGUUCUGGAGACAGUGAAGGAAGUUUCAUGACGAGGUGGAUAGACUUGACAGCCCCUCCACCCUCACACCCUUAAUCUAGAUCUGCAAAGGACUUGUUCAGCAGAUGGGGACAUCUCUGGGGGUUUUGGGCUCACUUGACUGUUUAUACAGUCUGUGUUAAGGAACCUUAAGGCAGAAGGCAUUUGUAGUUCAGGAAAAGGGAUUGGAGACCAGGAUCCCCACUACCUUGUUCACUCUAGCUCCUCAUUAUCCCUUUUAUUUAUGCACCUUCCUCUCGGCUGUUCCUUGGCCAUGCAUGGUGAGCUAAGGGGCUCUGGACAGCCUUUGACAUAAAGAGCUGCUGCUGAGACGCUACUCAGCCUCCAUAAAGCUGUUGGUCAUCCUUGACAUACUUUGUAGCAGGAUUUUAGUGCUUGGGGAGAUUUUUUUUUUAUGGUGGAAACUCUAACUUCCAGAAAUCUUAAGACACGUGAGAAGUUCUGAAGAUUGUCCUGCAGUGAUAAGUGCCUUUUGUGGGGUGAUGUCUUAGAUGCUUGUGGAGUUUUUGUCUGAGGUUUCUCCUUGGGUGUCCUUGAGUGGUUAAGUUCCCUGGGUACUUUUACCUGUGUUGCUCAUGUCUAUGUCUGUCAUGUUCCAAAAUGUUUACUAACUGUGACUCUAGCCUAUAAUUUCAAAGACACAUGUUAUGCCCUGGUUGGCCUUGAUGUGUUCAUUAAAUGUAAAAUGUCAUGCAGUGUGAUAUCUCCUGCCUGAUUGACUCUUGUAUUAGAGUAUUUGGGCUGGUUCGAGGUGCUGUAUCCAGCGUUUUUUCACUUUGGUGAAGAGUUGAAGGGCAAAAGUAAGUGCACAUGCUAUUAUGAGAGGUACUUUUUUUUUUUUACCAGGUUAAGAGCAAACACUAUAAAUACUGGACUGCAGUUUGAAUUCACUUGUGUGUGGUUUUUUUCCUUUCAGUAGCUGGUGCACGUAGAAAUGAUAGUGAUAGGUGAGUGUUCUAAUAGGUGAUAAGUGAGUGUUCUAAUGCAGUGAAAAUUUGGACUUUAUGUUCACAGGCUGUUGUCCUCUAAUUGCUACAGUUGGGAUAUCCCUUAGAAGUCACUUGUGUAACUUGCAGAGGCGGAAAUAUCAUAGUGCAGACUGCAGUUCAGUGCUGCAGUAGAAGACCCGAGAAGCUGAGUCAAUAGAACUGGGUCCUUUCCACCGCAUUAUAUCAGCCUGGCAACGAUGUGUCGUGCCCAAGGGAAAGGUGUCACAGCGGGAGGAAUGCUGCAUUGGCAUCUGCCCUCUGACCGGUGGCCGGGAGUCAAGGGGACAGUGUCACAGGCUGCUAGUCAGUAACUCUGCUCAUUACUCCUGGGGCGUGAAACAAACAGCUUUCUCUUGUACAGCGGUCCUUUGACUCAGUGCUGCAAUGUCCUUUCUCUGUUUUCUGAUUCGCUGCUCCUUACUCUUGUAGUCCUUUGUUAAUAUAACUAUUGAGAUUUGUGGCGACUGCAGUCUAGGUAACUACCACAGGGUGUCACUGGAAUACAAAAGGAGUAAUAGAUGUGGGUGAAAAGAGCUGGAAACCUUGCUGAAACAGUGCGUUGGAAACCUUCUUUUCAAGCUCUUUUCGUGAACAUUUGUGUUUUAGUCGCAUUCACUGUACCAAGUGACCAAGGUCUUGGUGGCCUUACUGGCAAGCUGGGCUUGGUACCAGCUGGACCUGUGAGCUCACCACACAGUGCUUCAGCAAGAGGUGACUGCAGGCUGAAACAGUAUUGGUUUGUGAGGAGGAGAUGGUGCAGAGAUCUCCUCAAAGUCUUUCAGAAGUCUUUAUGAUCUUGACAAACAAAAAUCUCGUGCGCCACUUAUUUUCAGUUGGUGAUACUGGGGGUUUUCUAAGUGCGUGCGUGGUCAGAAAGUGAAAGUAUAAAUCAGCAGUAAUUCAGAUGGACGCUCUUGAGGUUGGGCUCCUGUCCACAGCUCUUGAUCCUCACCUCAGUUCACCAUCUGUAACAAGGAGUUUAAUAGUAUUUUCUUGACAACACUGUUUUGGUCAUAGAUGUGUUGAACACUGAGGUGUUCUCAUCCUAAGACACUGAUGCAUGGUAAGUUUUUUCCUCAGUGGCCCACUGUGCUGGGAAAAAUGCUCAUCCAACACAGGGAAUGGAACUGGGGAACUGAUGUGUCUAGAAAGUGAUUGCAACACCCUCUCCUUCCCCACCCAAAUGUCCAGCUCAAUCAGAUCUUCUUUCUAGUUCAUCACCAGCCCUAUAAACCAGUGGUGCUGCCCAAGUGCACAACAUGGUAUGAACUGAGAGCCUUUAGCUAAUGGGCAAGGGGAGAGAGGUGAAGUGAGAAAGGGGAAAAGGGAAAGAAAUUAUGCAUCUAUUAAGUGAUGACCUAAAAUUCUGGACUUUUACCCCACCUUCCUAGUGUGUGGGAUACAGCUAAUCUCACACAAAUGAACACAUUUGUUUGGGGAGAAUCUUUGUGUUGAUCAGCUUAAAAUCCAAUGCUUUGCCAGUCCUCAAGUUAUUCCUUAGGAAAGGGAGUGUGGAAGGUGAAUGGCUUGAACCUUCAUCUCUGCCUUGCAAAUGUCAUGAAGAUAUCUUGUCUCCAGUCUAUCAUGUCAGUAAAAACUCUUUAACUUUGCAAGGGAUUUAUGUGAUUCUCUUCUCAUUAAUGUGUUAAUGGGAGGUUUGUACCAAAACAUCUGGACGUGUGUAGCAAAACAGAAAACAGCUGGAGAGUAAUGUCCUUCACCAUAUGCUGUCCAAACCUUUUGGUGCUUGGGAAGGUGUUAGUGCUCACCAGGAACUUGAGGCUAUAACCUAUAACUGUUGGUUUGGUUGUUUUGUUUUUUUUUUAAUUAAAAUGCUAGUAUAGGCAACCUCUAUGUUUGCCUAAACUUGCUUUCAGUGAGACACCAUGCAAAAUUGCUUGUGUGUGUUCUCCUCCCCAUGAUCUCACUGUUCAAAGCGAGAUUGCUGGCAAGAUACGCUUCAUCAUCCCUCGGACGGUGGUAUAAAAUUACUGGAGUCUUGAGUUUCAUAAUUUGAAAUUCAUUGUUUCUGCAAACUCUUUCUAAAAUCACAUGCCAGCUCUGAGGGGUUGGAAGCCAUGUUUCAAAUUAAACCAGAAGUGCUGAGAAGCACACUUCUCCUGGAGGAUCUCUUCUUCAGAUUUCACCUGGCUCAGACAAAUGAUGAUCUCUUCUCACUAGGUUUUUACUGUGGUUUGUCUUUUUUUGUGGCGGAUUUCUUUUCCUCUGUGUGUGGGCAAUCCUUCAAGGACAGGAUGCUCCUGUGACUGGCCCUGCCCCAUGUGUCUUGGUCCACUGCGCCUUUUCUGUGUCCCUUGUGUGACUGGAAGCUGACCCGGAGGCUGCUGUGUUGCAGAUGCCACUUGCAGUUUUGGCAGCGUGUGAAUGGGAUGUUUCCAGAGAGCUCCCUGGAAAGUGGGAUCUAAUGGAUCAGGGCAUUAAAAGUCAUAGUGAUCAAGAGACUUGAAAAAAAAACAUAACUUUCAUCUGUCUGUGUUUUGGGUGGUCCAGAGACUUGAGGUGCCAGUGUGGAUUCACUUUGGCCAGCCUAACACGUGAGGUCCUGGAGGACCAUGCUUUGGAGAGGACAGGGAUUUGGCUGUGACUUCAAAUGCUGUGGGCUGUUUGGCCUCUUGCCUCAACCUGAAACCACAGAAGUUACAAGAAGUGCACACCCAUGGGGUUUUUAUCCAUGUUGCCUUUGACAUCUUACCAGUAAAACACAAAGCCCAGUAACAAAUGCAGUUUCUUAGGAGUGAGGAUCACUGCAGGCAGUUGGCGUUUGCUUGCUUCAUUUGCUAAUAAAGACAACAGGGGAUAAAAAUCAGUCUUUAAUUUAUGUAUUACACUGGUCUCAAGUUGCAAUCAUUUCAAGGGUCCAGAUGACUGGUUUGAUGGACUUUAUAUUUCUGUACUGUGAGUCUACACUAUGAUCCUGGCUUGGACAAGUUGUGUGCAUGUAUUAUGUGAUACUUGCAGCUUCUUAUCGAAUGACCAACAAAAAGAGAAGAAUGAAAUGUCAUAUUAAUUUAUUUCAAUCUUCCAUAAUAGAUGUGCUGUCUACCUGCUGUCCGGUGUUAGGAGAUAAAUGUGAUGCUUCUGUCUGUCCUUGCUUAGUUAUCAAGUGUUCCGUCUUUAAUAUUGGGAUAUUGGGAGCAUCUGCUGGUAUUUUUGUGAAGAACAAACAAAGCUAUUGAUAGUUAUUAGUGAAGCUUUGUGCAAAAAUGUGUUUCUUCUGCUAUAAAAGAGAUUGCUGUUCCCUGUGACCCUGUAAACUGUUGCUGUGGUGCUGCUUCAAACAACAGGGGUUUUAGGUGUCUUGCUGUUAAAAAUUACCUGCUGCUGUGGGGUAUUUGUGUGAAUACAUCAUCUAUGUGAAAGACCCUGCUACUACAAAACUCUAAUUAAAAUCUUAAGUUAGA